UACGUAGGUCCCGAGCGUUGUCCGGAUUUAUUGGGCGUAAAGCGAGCGCAGGUGGUUUAUUAAAUCUGGUGUAAAAGGCAGUGGCUCAACCAUUGUAUGCAUUGGAAACUGGUAGACUUGAGUGCAGGAGAGGAGAGUGGAAUUCCAUGUGUAGCGGUGAAAUGCGUAGAUAUAUGGAGGAACACCGGUGGCGAAAGCGGCUCUCUGGCCUGUAACUGACACUGAGGCUCGAAAGCGUGGGGAGCAAACAGG
rnacentral:rRNA from 1 species